rnacentral:rRNA from 1 species
CUACGGGGGGCACCAGUGGGGAAUAUUGGACAAUGGGGGGAACCCUGAUCCAGCCAUGCCGCGUGUGUGAAGAAGGCCUUUUGGUUGUAAAGCACUUUAAGCAGUGAAGAAGACUCUUCGGUUAAUACCCGGGGACGAUGACAUUAGCUGCAGAAUAAGCACCGGCUAACUCUGUGCCAGCAGCCGCGGUAAUACAGAGGGUGCAAGCGUUAAUCGGAAUUACUGGGCGUAAAGCGAGCGUAGGUGGCUUGAUAAUUCAGAUGUGAAAUCCCCGGGCUUAACCUGGGAACUGCAUCUGAAACUGUUAGGCUAGAGUAGGUGAGAGGGAAGUAGAAUUUCAGGUGUAGCGGUGAAAUGCGUAGAGAUCUGAAGGAAUACCGAUGGCGAAGGCAGCUUCCUGGCAUCAUACUGACACUGAGGCUCGAAAGCGUGGGUAGCAAACAGGAUUAGAUACCCGCGUAGUC